UUCCUUUGCACAGGUUUUGAUAAAUCUCCCAUAUUGUGACUAGACGCGUCCGCCGGGCUAUGGCACUAUGAGGAGAAUGUCAGAAGCCCACGAACGUCUGACAGGAGAGGACCUCGCUGUCAGCUAAUCACUCGAGAUCAGGACGAGCGCUUGUGAGGGAAGACGGUUGAGCGCUCGAGACGAACAAAUGGCGGUGAUGACUCAGUAGAAAAGAAAAUAUAUGAUGGACGCAGAAUAAUGAACUGGAUAAGGUGAAGAUAUUGUAAACUGAAAAUAAAAGAGGUGUGGCUUUUUGCAAGACGGGACAUGGAAGGUGAGGAGGGUGUGGCUUGCCAGCUGGACUGACGCAUUCACCAGGAGAUGCAAAACAGACCUUGUGGAGUAAGCUUGAUAAAUCUUAGUACAUUUCCCUGUCUAUGAUCUACCAGUAAAAACCACAAGAAACUGCAGCAACUCUUAAGAACAUUCCCUUCUGAGAUCAGCAUUACUCAAGAACCUCCUGGAACAUUCAUGCACAUAAAUAUGUAUGAAGCUAGUGACUUUCUACAAGUUU